ensembl:snoRNA SNORA62 Small nucleolar RNA SNORA62/SNORA6 family
CUUGCACACAGUUGGAACUUGGAGCUGAGGCCAACUUUUGGCCAAGGAACUCUCAAGUGUAGGAUGUGUGCUACAGUAACAUGGCAGGACUUACUGACAGCCUGAGGGUCUUCGUGUCCCAAUGAAAGGAGUUUGGUAGUCAAUCUUGCCACAGUU